GGUUGACCUCCGGAUCAGGCAGGGAUACCCGCUGAACCUUAGCAUAUCAAUAAGCGGAGGA
rnacentral:rRNA from 1 species